ACGGUGUUCUGUCCAGAGAGUGGGAGAUUUCUGUGUUCAGGGGACUUGCUGUUUCCAAGAGAGGGGGAGUGCCUGAUGUCUGCUGGACCAAGCCUGUUCCUCCUCCUCCCUCCUCCCUUAUCCCCCCUCUCUUUCCUCCCCUCCCUCCUUCCCUUUCCUCUGGUUCACAAAGCCCUUCCCUUCCUAGUGUAACAGAGCGGACCAGGAAAUGCUAAAACCCUGUCUUUUAUGUUUGCUGACCCAUUGUGCAGGUUCUGAUGUUUAAUGGGGACCCAGGAGGUCCUCCCAUUUCCCUGUCUGCAACCAGCUCCAACUGCCCUCCUCACCUACAGCCUGGACAAAAGGCUGCCUCCCUACUGCUCCUGCUCAGAUCUAGUGGAUUUCUUCAGGGUUAGGGCUAGUUUCUCCAAAUGCAUUGUGGGUUCCCCAGUUGCAGUCCCCAUUCCCGUGAACCCCUUAGAGACUUUUACUUUGAUUAAGAGCUUAACAAAUUCACUUUAAAAUGGACUUGGAUAGUUCAGUUACUGGAGGCCACUACAACCUUUGUUACACCAGCAAAUCAAACGUAUUGAAACAAUAAUAAAGUACAAACAAUAAUUGUGGUAACUUUUUUUUUUUGGUAACUUUUUUUGGAGUUACCAAAAAUGUUUAUGUAAUUAUGUUAUUAUUUCAAACCUUUAAAACAAUAGUCUACUCUGUUGUCAGUUGGGUGAUUGACUAUAAAGCAAAUCUGCAGGCAAACUAUUUGGUUUUAAAACAUUUUUGGUAAUUGCAUACACAUUGUUGAAAGUAAAAGUGCAAUGUUAAAGAGCCCAUGCCAUUAAAAUCACAUUUUUCCUAUUGUUUGUCAAAUAACAGAGGUCAGAAUAAGUUUGUGACCUUAUUCGGAAUCCGUACGGAAACCGUACGGAUUCCGUACGGAUUCCGUACGGUUUUGAAUGACUAAUAGCCGCGGCUAUUAGUCAUUCAC